AAUGAACGCUGGCGGCAUGCCUAACACAUGCAAGUCGAACGAAGGCUUCGGCCUUAGUGGCGCACGGGUGCGUAACGCGUGGGAAUCUGCCCUUGGGUUCGGAAUAACAGUUAGAAAUGACUGCUAAUACCGGAUGAUGUCGUAAGACCAAAGAUUUAUCGCCCAAGGAUGAGCCCGCGUAGGAUUAGCUAGUUGGUGGGGUAAAGGCCUACCAAGGCGACGAUCCUUAGCUGGUCUGAGAGGAUGAUCAGCCACACUGGGACUGAGACACGGCCCAGACUCCUACGGGAGGCAGCAGUGGGGAAUAUUGGACAAUGGGCGAAAGCCUGAUCCAGCAAUGCCGCGUGAGUGAUGAAGUCCUUAGGGUUGUAAAGCUCUUUUACCCGGGAUGAUAAUGACAGUACCGGGAGAAUAAGCUCCGGCUAACUUCGUG
rnacentral:rRNA from 1 species